CAGCAGCCACGGGAAUACGGAGGGCGCGAGCGUUACCCGGAUUUACUGGGCGUAAAGGGCGUGUAGGCGGCCUGGGGCGUCCCAUGUGAAAGGCCACGGCUCAACCGUGGAGGAGCGUGGGAUACGCUCAGGCUAGAGGGUGGGAGAGGGUGGUGGAAUUCCCGGAGUAGCGGUGAAAUGCGCAGAUACCGGGAGGAACGCCGAUGGCGAAGGCAGCCACCUGGUCCACUUCUGACGCUGAGGCGCGAAAGCAUGGGGAGCAAACCGGAUUAGAUACCCGAGUAGUCCCUGUCUCUUAUAA
rnacentral:rRNA from 1 species